rnacentral:rRNA from 1 species
CCUAACACAUGCAAGUCGAACGGUAACAGGAAACAGCUUGCUGUUUCGCUGACGAGUGGCGGACGGGUGAGUAAUGUCUGGGAAACUGCCUGAUGGAGGGGGAUAACUACUGGAAACGGUAGCUAAUACCGCAUAACGUCGCAAGACCAAAGAGGGGGACCCUCGGGCCUCUUACCAUCGGAUGUGCCCAGAUGGGAUUAGCUUGUUGGUGGGGCAACGGCUCACCAAGGCGACGAUCCCUAGCUGGUCUGAGAGGAUGACCAGCCACACUGGAACUGAGACACGGUCCAGACUCCUACGGGAGGCAGCAGUGGGGAAUAUUGCACAAUGGGCGCAAGCCUGAUGCAGCCAUGCCGCGUGUAUGAAGAAGGCCUUCGGGUUGUAAAGUACUUUCAGCGGGGAGGAAGGGAGUAAAGUUAAUACCUUUGCUCAUUGACGUUACCCGCAGAAGAAGCACCGGCUAACUCCGUGCCAGCAGCCGCGGUAAUACGGAGGGUGCAAGCGUUAAUCGGAAUUACUGGGCGUAAAGCGCACGCAGGCGGUUUGUUAAGUCAGAUGUGAAAUCCCCGGGCUCAACCUGGGAACUGCAUCUGAUACUGGCAAGCUUGAGUCUCGUAGAGGGGGGUAGAGUUCCAGGUGUAGCGGUGAAAUGCGUAGAGAUCUGGAGGAAUACCGGUGGCGAAGGCG